ACUUCGAAAACAUGUAUGUCUACUUUUAUUAUCGUUGAAGAUGGCUUGAAGUCAAGCCUAAACAUUCAACAAUAAAAAUAAUGUUGAAUGCGAAAGAUGCUGAAAAUUUCGCAUUCAAAAAUAAUGAACAAAUUGCAAGGAGAGACGAAGUUAAAUACAUUUAUAAACGCCAAUGUUAUAACACUAACUAGAAAGGUGGUUUUUAUUAUGGAACAAAAAGGCUAUUUUGGUUAAAAGUCUAAUCACAUCUAACUAUUAAUGAAAUUUAGCGAUAAAAAAUCGACAAAAAUCAACACAAGCACAACAUAUGAGAAAUUUUUAAAAGAGAUCUUGUUAAAGAUCAAUAGAACAUUUACAGCAAGUCAAAUGAUUUAUAAGGCAAUAAAGGCAAUGGCCCAAAAAAUCUUAAAAGGACGUUGUCUCACUGACCUACAUU